UACGUAGGGGGCAAGCGUUGUCCGGAUUUAUUGGGCGUAAAGAGCGUGUAGGCGGCUAGGUAGGUCCGUUGUGAAAACUCGAGGCUCAACCUCGAGACGUCGAUGGAAACCAUCUGGCUAGAGUCCGGAAGAGGAGAGUGGAAUUCCUGGUGUAGCGGUGAAAUGCGCAGAUAUCAGGAGGAACACCGGUGGCGAAGGCGGCUCUCUGGACCACAACUGACGCUGAGGCGCGAAAGCUAGGGGAGCAAACAGG
rnacentral:rRNA from 1 species